rnacentral:rRNA from 1 species
AUUGAACGCUGGCGGCAGGCCUAACACAUGCAAGUCGAGCGAGCGGCGGACGGGUGAGUAAUGUCUGGGAAACUGCCCGAUGGAGGGGGAUAACUACUGGAAACGCUAGCUCAUACCGCAUACCAUCAGAUGUGCCCAGAGGGGAUGAGCUAGUGGGGGGGGUAACGGCUCACCUAGGCGACGAUCCCCAGCUGGUCUGAGAGGAUGACCAGCCACACUGGAACUUAGACACGGUCCAGACUCCUACGGGAGGCAGCAGUGGGGAAUAUUGCACAAUGGGCGCAAUCCUGAUGCAGCCAUGCCGCGUGUAUGAAGAAGGCCUUCGGGUUGUAAAGCACUUUCAGCGGGGAGGCGUUACCCGCAGAAGAAGCACCGGCUAACUCCGUGCCAGCAGCCGCGGUAAUUC